rnacentral:rRNA from 1 species
ACACGACUACAUUAGAUACCCGGGUAGUCCAGGGUGUAAACGCUGCGGGCUUGGUGUUGGGGGUCCUUUGAGGGCGCCCAGUGCCGGAGAGAAGUUGUUAAGCCUGCUGCUUGGGAGUAUGUCCGCAAGGAUGAAACUUAAAGGAAUUGGCGGGGAGCACCGCAACGGGAGGAGCGUGCGGUUUAAUUGGAUUCAACGCCGGAAAUCUUACCGGGACCGACAGCAACAUGAAGGCCAAGCUGAAGACUUUGCCGGAUUAGCUG